GGGGUCUCACAGUAGUGCCAGGUGGGUCUCGAAUGCCUGGCCUCAAGAGAUCACGAGAUCCUCCCACCUCAGCUUCCCAAAAUGCUGGGAUUACAGGCAGGCCUUGGAAUUAUUUGUCUGCAUUUUAGAGUUCAGUGUAGUUUGUAUUUGUAAUUCCAUGUUGCUGGGGGGCGGGGCUUAUUGUCCCUGGGGCACUAAGAUCUUGCAGUGCUUAGAGCCUCCAGGGGCUUCACUGGGGCUUGGAAGAGGUGCUAGGUCACAGUACGUAAAGAGCAGCUGGCAACUGUCACUGUGAUGGAUAUUGUAUGUAGGCAUCCAGCGUGUCACCCUCCCUUCCUGAUUCUGGGCCUUAGAAUCCCAGGACCACAAAAGGAAGUGAUUUCCCACACAGAGACCUAGACCACAGCGGUCACUCACUGCCCAGGGCAGCUGCCAGCCUGCUACCCACCUCACUUCCUCAGCCCAGCUGUGGAAAACCAACUCUGCCAUCUUCCUGGGAUUCCAAGGAACCGUCACAAGUUCCUGGCGGCCUCAGGUGUCUGGCUUAAAGGGACAGACUCCAGUUUGUGGAAGUGCUGGCCGAGCUUGAGUUGAUCAGGAGGAUGACGCCUGGCCAGGACUCUGAGCUGAAAGCCUGGGAGGGGUAGAGGAAGAGUACCAGGAUCGUGCCACAGGGGCGAGGUGGGAGAGGCAGCUCCCCUGGGCCUGCUGUGUCAUCACUUGGAGCUUAGCCAUGGCCACAGGUACCUCCAACAGCUCUCUCAAAAACUAGCCAAGGCCUGUCUGCCACUCACCAAGGGCACCCACUCCACCUGCCUCUGCUUUGUGCUGAUGCAAAGGACUUUUUUUGCAGUACAACCUAGCAAUUUCUGAGCACUUUUCACCCACUGAUUCUCACAAGCACCCUGAGGGAGUACACAUUAUCCUCACUUUGCAGAUGAAGAAGUUAAUCAGAGAGGUCGGGACACUUGUCUAAGGUCACACAGCUAGAAGUGGUAUCUUGGUAAGAAAAGGUGGGGAGGAUUAACAAUGGUAAGAACUCUUGCUGUGUGCCAGGCCUUGCGCCAGGGAUUCAAUAUAUGUUCUUUCAUUCCCAUAGCAGCUCUGCACAGACAAUGACUAUUAUCUCUUCCUACAAGGAGGAAAUGGGAGAUCAAAGGGGAAAGCCAGGUCUGCUUUCUGCGCCAGCAUUCCAAGCCGUGGUCCCUUUGUCCUGCUGGCUGAGUCGGGCUGGAUCUGAGAGGCCACACUGUCACAAGGUACAUUCUAGAUGCCCUUUGUCUACUGCUGUCCCAGGACAGAGCCAAGAACUUGUGUGGGAUGCAAUAUGGAGUCCUGAUAAAGGGUUUGUGGCCUGCCACCUGGUAUAUGCACUGCCUGUGCCCCAAGGGAGAGGUGAGAAGGCAGGUUCCAGUCCCUUCUAUGGCAAAGCCUGUGGGUGAGCCGGGAAAGGCAGACAACAAGGAAAUAAAGCAGACAGCAUGAGCCGCAGGCUUCCAGCAGGGUCCCAGUGCCACCAGGCGAGGCCAAACCAGGAGGCCAGCGUGGGCAGGAGCCCAGGGAAGGGCUUCAUGGAGGAGGAGUCUCCAUGACCUCACAGAGCACCAGCAACAAGCUGGCAGCAUCAGGACUGAGGUGUGGUGAGGCCGGAGCCCUGCAAAGCCCCCACCUAAGCACACAAGGCCUGCGACAGCAUCAUAGCAUGAGGGUCAAGGCUGAGGGGACUUAGCCGGGAAGACAUCAGAAACAGUCUGAAACUCAAGAGAGAGCCCUCGUGACCACCUCAGCCGGGACUCAGACCAGCAGCCUCCCAGGAAGCGGCUUGAAGCACAAGCUGGGCCCUGCUGCAGUCACCUGGUGUCCCUUUCAAGCUGGGCCACUCGCACUUUCCAGUCCCAGCCUUGCACAGAACUCUCAUCCCUACAAAUAACAAUUUAGUUUCUGACCUUUCACUCAAUCGUUCCAGCCUCAGGUCUUUAUUUUUGGUUUUCCUGUUAUCUUUCUAUUGUUGAGAUGUAGCGAAUACACUGAAAAGGGCGCAGAACAUACACUUUUGGUCAAUGCCUGUACCACCA
rnacentral:lncRNA from 1 species